AACGCGAAAGCCCUUCGGGGGCAAGUAGAGUGGCGUCGGGUGAGUAACACGUGGGUAAUCUGCCUUCGGGUGGGGAAUAACCC
rnacentral:rRNA from 1 species